GCAACAUCACAUCAGAAACACUCCCACCUCUGACCCAACUACCCAACCACAGCAGAGCGCUACUCUGGCAGGUCCAGCGUCAGCACCUGUAAACUGUCAGUGUUGAUUGGUCCGGGUCCAACAAACUGGUGGUUGGUAACCAGCAACAGCACUUCAGUGACGGGCACAAGAAGCUCUCUUUAAAAAGAAGAGUGAGGAGGUGCAGAAGGAGCUGCCUCCAGUCUGUAAGUGCUUCUGAACGUUAGCACUGCUAACACCUGCCUGCCCCACUGCCCACCCCGGAUCCUUACAGACUUACUCUCUGGACGCUCCCUGUUGCUCUCCCAGAUCUCUUACCCCUCCAUGCCUCGCCUGCUCCCGCAAAGAAUGACUUUGAGAAUUUUCUGCCUCCUAAUUCCUCGCUGGCCACAUCUCUCGGUUCCUGCACUGGACGUUACCCGGUGUCAGGUUCCUCACUCAGGUCUGCGAGAGCCCCAAGACUCCCUCAUGGACCCCACCUCCCAGUUAGACACAGUGGUUACAAAGCACCCUGUUUCUCAGUCUGUGUUGUGUUGCCUGUAAGCAUCAAUGUGUCAUAGAGGCACUCGAGCAGUCUCAUAGAAGUGAGGUAGCGCUCACAGUAAAGUGUUUGUAUUCUCAUGUUAGUGUUCUCAUUGAAGAAGUCAAGCUGAGCUCACAGUAUAGUAGUGGUACGCUCAUUCUCAGAAGUCAGGCUGUGUUUUCACUUUAGUAGUUCUAUACUCGUUCACAGCAAUUCUCAGAAAGGUUUAAGUUAUUGAAUUAUUUCCCGCUUAAUCGUUGUGUUUUGUAAUUAUUGCAUUCUUGUUCACUUUGUGUUUUCUCUCAGACUCUGUUUGCUUCGCUCAUACGCUCUGCGUCUCUGAGUGGUUUUCACAUCUGAGUCCAUUCACCUGUGUCUAGCUUUCUGGCUGUGACAUGAAGCGCCCAUGAUUCCCAGUAAAAGACUUCUACAAGAAAUAUGUGUUCAGUCUGUGUGCAUGUCUGUGUGUUUAAAGUCUGCAUAAAGAUGAUACAGGUUCAUCCACAGUGUUAGGUCCAUGUUCAUGUGCAUUAUUCAAAUCUAGUGGAGAGCGACAAAGAA